GGCUAGCCUCGGCUUGGUCACUUUUAACUACUAGUUGGUCGUGAGGCUGACGAACGUUGAGUUGGGCUGAGCAAGGCUUUUUGUCUCUAUUCAAACCUUGACCUCAAAUCAGGUAGAACUACCCGCUGAACUUAACAAUAUCAUAACCGGAAGAAAAA
rnacentral:rRNA from 1 species